rnacentral:rRNA from 14 species
UUAGAUGUUCUGGGCUGCACGCGCGCUACACUGAUACGAUCAACGAGUACUGAAGACCUGGUCCGAAAGGAUUGGGUAAACUUUUGAAAUCGUAUCGUGCUGGGGAUCGAUAAUUGUAAUUAUUUAUCGUGAACGAGGAAUUCCUAGUAAGCGCAAGUCAACAGCUUGCGCUGAUUACGUCCCUGCCCUUUGUACACACCGCCCGUCGCUGCUACCGAUGUUUGGUCCGGUGAAAUCUUAGGACUCGCG